GAUGAAGAACGUAGCGAAAUGCGAUAAUUAAUGUGAAUUGCAGAAUUUAGUGAAUCAUCGAAUCUUUGAACGCACAUUGCGCCCGUCAGUAUUCUGGCGGGCAUGCCUGUUCGAGCGUCAUUACGCCCCUCAAGUCCCCUGUGGACUUGGUGUUGGGGAUCGGCGAGGCUGGUUUUCCAGCACAGCCGUCCCUUAAAUUAAUUGGCGGUCUCGCCGUGGCCCUCCUCUGCGCAGUAGUAAAACACUCGCAACAGGAGCCCGGCGCGGUCCACUGCCGUAAAACCCCCCAACUUUUUAUAGUUGACCUCGAAUCAGGUAGGACUACCCGCUGAACUUAAGCAUAUCAAUAAGCGGAGGA
rnacentral:misc_RNA from 1 species